GACAGAGGGUGCAAACGUUGCUCGGAAUUACUGGGCGUAAAGGGCGUGUAGGCGGGAAGGCAAGUCGGGCGUGAAAGCCCCAGGCUCAACCUGGGAACUGCACUCGAAACUGCCUUUCUUGAGUGCCGGGAGAGGAAAGCGGAAUUCCUGGUGUAGAGGUGAAAUUCGUAGGAUAUCAGGAGGAACACCAGUGGCGAAGGCGGCUUUCUGGACG
rnacentral:rRNA from 1 species